rnacentral:rRNA from 1 species
AUGUGCUCAAGCAACUCUCUGCUUCCUAAUUCCUUAAGGUUUGUCUGUACCAUUUCCACAUGCUUACCUACUGGUGGAGGCUGUUGCUUGCAGAUUGCCAAGGUUAGGCGGUGGAGCUCCACGUCCUUGACGUGCGCAUGCUCGUCAAGGAAGCGGCUCCCGAAUCUGCGCUCACGCGGCCGUGACGGAAGGGGCUCGAGAUGGCCGCCGCCGCCGCCGAAGACCAAUCCCCGACCUUGUCCCAAAUCACUUCCUCAGCCAUGUUCCACUGAGGAAGGAGGGGACGGCACAGAGAGGGUCCUCACACAGUCGUGCGGUCGACCACUACGACGCGGCCGUGCGGUGGGUACCCUCGGACGCCGCACUCCCGGGCCGGAGGGAGUCCAGAUCCGGCACAUCACAAAGGUUGCCGCGGCAGGGUGUAUGCACCUGCCUUGGGAAUCCCAGCCCGGCCAUCUUCUCCCCCGAGUUGCAGCGGCGUCGAACCCUAGAUGCACCUCUGCCCGUCCCCCAACUCCCUCCUCUUGA